GAAAGAGAAGAGUGGUUCAAGUCCGUACGCUAUAGCCAAAUACAUGGAAGAGAAGCACAAGGCGGUGCUUCCAGCGAAUUUCAGGAAAAUCUUAGGUCUUCAGCUUAAAACCUCAGCUGCUAGAGGCAAGCUGAUAAAGAUCAAGGCCUCUUACAAGCUCUCCGAAGCUGGCAAAAAAGAGAAAGCCCCUGUUACAAAAGCUAAGACAGAGAAGAAAGCUAAGCCAGCUUCGAAGCCGAAGAAAGCUGAGGCUACAAAGAAGCCAACAAAGAGAGUCGGGGCCAAGAAGAAAUCAACUCCAGCAAAGGCGAAGCAGCCUAAAUCUAUCAAGUCACCUGCGGCUAAAAAGGCCAAGAAGGCCGCUGCUUAGAACAAAUGUGUAG
rnacentral:lncRNA from 1 species